rnacentral:sRNA from 1 species
GCGCAAGAGGAUCAGGGAUAGCCUCUGAGCUCGGGUUCCCAGGGUUCGUAGCUUCCAACGGCUGCGCGCGCACUUCGGUCGCGGGCGGUGAGGUGCUGUUGCUGAAACGCUGCCGCUGAGGGUGGACUCGAUUUCCCAGGGUCCCGCCGUGGGAGUCUCCGGCGGGCGGGCGCGCGCGAGCCACCGAGCGAGGUGAUAGAGGCGGCGGCCCAGGCGUCUGGGUCCUGCUGGUCUUCGCCUUUCUUCUCCGCUUCUACCCCGUCGGCCGCUGCCACUGGGGUCCCUGGCCCCACCGACAUGGCGGCGGUGUUGCAGCAAGUCCUGGAGCGCACGGAGCUGAACAAGCUGCCCAAGUCUGUCCAGAACAAACUUGAAAAGUUCCUUGCUGAUCAGCAAUCCGAGAUCGAUGGCCUGAAGGGGCGGCAUGAGAAAUUUAAGGUGGAGAGCGAACAACAGUAUUUUGAAAUAGAAAAGAGGUUGUCCCACAGUCAGGAGAGACUUGUGAAUGAAACCCGAGAGUGUCAAAGCUUGCGGCUUGAGCUAGAGAAACUCAACAAUCAACUGAAGGCACUAACUGAGAAAAACAAAGAACUUGAAAUUGCUCAGGAUCGCAAUAUUGCCAUUCAGAGCCAAUUUACAAGAACAAAGGAAGAAUUAGAAGCUGAGAAAAGAGACUUAAUUAGAACCAAUGAGAGACUAUCUCAAGAACUUGAAUACUUAACAGAGGAUGUUAAACGUCUGAAUGAAAAACUUAAAGAAAGCAAUACAACAAAGGGUGAACUUCAGUUAAAAUUGGAUGAACUUCAAGCUUCUGAUGUUUCUGUUAAGUAUCGAGAAAAACGCUUGGAGCAAGAAAAGGAAUUGCUACAUAGUCAGAAUACAUGGCUGAAUACAGAGUUGAAAACCAAAACUGAUGAACUUCUGGCUCUUGGAAGAGAAAAAGGGAAUGAGAUUCUAGAGCUUAAAUGUAAUCUUGAAAAUAAAAAAGAGGAGGUUUCUAGACUGGAAGAACAAAUGAAUGGCUUAAAAACAUCAAAUGAACAUCUUCAAAAGCAUGUGGAGGAUCUGUUGACCAAAUUAAAAGAGGCCAAGGAACAACAGGCCAGUAUGGAAGAGAAAUUCCACAAUGAAUUAAAUGCCCACAUAAAACUUUCUAAUUUGUACAAGGUAAAUAUCCCACCACACAUGUUAGUAUCUAAAUGUUGCAUUGUUGACUGUUAGGUAACUUUUUAAGAUUAACUUUUAGAGUGCCGCUGAUGACUCAGAAGCAAAGAGCAAUGAACUAACCCGGGCAGUGGAGGAACUACACAAACUUUUGAAAGAAGCUGGUGAAGCCAACAAAGCAAUACAAGAUCAUCUUCUAGAGGUGGAGCAAUCCAAAGAUCAAAUGGAAAAAGAAAUGCUUGAGAAAAUAGGGAAAUUGGAGAAGGAAUUAGAGAAUGCAAAUGACCUUCUUUCUGCCACAAAACGUAAAGGAGCCAUAUUGUCUGAAGAAGAGCUUGCAGCCAUGUCUCCUACUGCAGCAGCUGUAGCUAAGAUAGUGAAACCUGGGAUGAAACUAACUGAGCUCUAUAAUGCUUAUGUGGAAACUCAGGAUCAGUUGCUUUUGGAGAAACUAGAGAACAAAAGAAUUAAUAAGUACCUAGAUGAAAUAGUGAAAGAAGUGGAAGCCAAAGCACCAAUUUUGAAACGCCAGCGUGAGGAAUAUGAACGUGCACAGAAAGCUGUAGCAAGUUUAUCUGUUAAGCUUGAACAAGCUAUGAAGGAGAUUCAGCGAUUGCAGGAGGACACUGAUAAAGCCAACAAGCAAUCAUCUGUACUUGAGAGAGAUAAUCGAAGAAUGGAAAUACAAGUAAAAGAUCUUUCACAACAGAUUAGAGUGCUUUUGAUGGAACUUGAAGAAGCAAGGGGUAACCACGUAAUUCGUGAUGAGGAAGUAAGCUCUGCUGAUAUAAGUAGUUCAUCUGAGGUAAUAUCACAGCAUCUAGUAUCUUACAGAAAUAUUGAAGAGCUUCAACAACAAAAUCAACGUCUCUUAGUGGCCCUUAGAGAGCUUGGGGAAACCAGAGAAAGAGAAGAACAAGAAACAACUUCAUCCAAAAUCACUGAGCUUCAGCUCAAACUUGAGAGUGCCCUUACUGAACUAGAACAACUCCGCAAAUCACGACAGCAUCAAAUGCAGCUUGUUGAUUCCAUAGUUCGUCAGCGUGAUAUGUACCGUAUUUUAUUGUCACAAACAACAGGAGUUGCCAUUCCAUUACAUGCUUCAAGCUUAGAUGAUAUUUCUCUUGCAUCAACUCCAAAACGUCCAAGUACAUCACAGACUGUUUCCACUCCUGCUCCAGUACCUGUUAUUGAAUCAACAGAGGCUAUAGAGGCUAAGGCUGCCCUUAAACAGGUAAAGAUCACACCUUUGUCCUGGGUUAGGUUUUUAGAGAACACAGUGUUACCUUCUCAUAAUCUCCAAUAUUUAGUUGCAGGAAAUUUUUGAGAACUACAAAAAAGAAAAAGCAGAAAAUGAAAAAAUACAAAAUGAGCAGCUUGAGAAACUUCAAGAACAAGUUACAGAUUUGCGAUCACAAAAUACCAAAAUUUCUACCCAGCUAGAUUUUGCUUCUAAACGUUACUUGUAGAAUUACUUUUUUCAUACCAGUUAUGAAAUGCUGCAAGAUAAUGUUGAAGGAUAUCGUCGAGAAAUAACAUCACUUCAUGAGAGAAAUCAGAAACUCACUGCCACAACUCAAAAGCAAGAACAGAUUAUCAAUACGAUGACUCAAGAUUUGAGAGGAGCAAAUGAGAAGCUAGCUGUCGCAGAAGUAAGAGCAGAAAAUUUGAAGAAGGAAAAGGAAAUGCUUAAAUUGUCUGAAGUUCGUCUUUCUCAGCAAAGAGAGUCUUUGUUAGCUGAACAAAGG